CAGGCAUGGCCCCACGUUGCACACAGAGGAGGUGCCUUUUUCUAUUUUUUGCCCAUGCCCCUUCGAGAGUCUGUGUACCCCGCUGUUGUGGUCAGAUGGAUUUUAGUUCACGAUCAAAGAAACAUCUGUUUUAAUGACCUGGAUGCACAGUAUGUCUAAAAAAGCAUUCCUGAAAAAACAGCUGUGAUUCAUAUUAGAUUAGUGGAUUACAUUUGUUUCCAACAGUUUUUGGUUCCAACAGGUUUUGACCUGGUCUUGUUAUGUUUACUUUUGGAACCCUGACCUGGACAUAAAAUUGGCCUUGAGGGUCAGCCCGCAUCUGCUGAACGUCUUCCUGGAUUUCUUUGGCACAGGUGUCCUGGGCAGUCUGUCUAUGUUCUGUGCUUUGGAAGGAAAGACAGCAGCUUAAAAUUGCCAAAAUGGUUUGCUACUCAAAUUUCCAUUCUCUGAAUUUAAAACCUUUUCUUACAAUAAUGUGAAGACAGGGGCAUAGUUUGAGUUUGACAUUGAGGUGACACUGGUGGACACAUUUUCUCCCCAGCCCCUAUCCCCCACUCGCCCCCACAGUAAAUAGUGAAAAAUUGUUCAACCAGAGCCAGCUAUGGUCAUUAAAGAUACAGACGCAUGCUAGCCUCAUCCAUUCUCACCUGUAAGAGCUGGCUUGGUUGUUUAUUUUCUUUAAUGUAUGUGAGGUACAGUAUCUCCUGGAGUAAUAGGCUAACAGUAGAAACCUCACCUUACGGGCGGACAUGGUGGCAUAGUGAUUAGCACUGUCACCUCACAGCAAGAAGGUUGUGGGUUCGACUCUUGGCUUUGGGCCUUUCUGUGCGGAGUUGGUUCUCCCAGUGUUCGCAUGGGUUUACUUCGGGUACUCCAUUUUUAAAAACCACACUCAAACCUCCCACACUUAGACAUGCAUGUUAGGUGCACUCCUGCAGGUGCCCUUGACCACGGCACUUGCCUCAGAACUGGAGUUGGUCCCCGGGCACAGCACAAGAGAGGCAGUUGCCCACUGCUCCUAAGGACCUAGGAUGGGUCAAAUGCAGAGAACAAAUUACCCCACGGGGUUCAAUGAAGUAUAUCUUAAGAGGGCACAAUAAUUGAAGUUUCAUGUUUAAUCAGCCUAUUUACACCAUAUUUAACUCUCUGAUUUUGAGAUGUGAAUUAAAUACAUCACAAAUGUUUUGUUUUCUAGAAAUAUAAGCAAAUGCAUACAUAAUAAAUAUGCAGUAAAUGUCAGAGUAUGGAGUGCUAUUGAGCAUACCAACUGAACACCUCACACCACCUCCCCUCCACCUCUCUACACCUCACUCCACCUCUCUACACCUCACUCCACCUCUCUACACCUCACACCAUCUCCCCUCCACCUCACUCCACCUCUCUACACCUCACACCACCUCCCCAUCGCCUCUCUACCCAUCCAAACCCUCUACUGACACACAUGGAAUCUAUCAAAACCUAUUUAUUUAAAUUAACUGAGAACAUGACAUGGAGAAAGACCGAAAGAUAGGAGCUUGUGUUUGAGAGGGAAUUCUUUUCAGUUAGGUGCAGACAUACGUAUGGCAGUCUGUUUCCAUGACGGAAAAGAAAUUAGUUGGGUUGAUUGCAACUUUAUUUCUCACGAUCAAGACUUUCUUAAAACUCUUACUUUUUUCUAGCUAGCAGAACUAGCUAGCAACCAAGGGCUAUCUAAAUGUUACAGCUAAUGUUUAUUGUAGAGUGUGCAUGUUUAGUAGAAAAUAACGUAGCUAACCACAGAAGGGCUUAUGCUAUGUUUUUCGGAUGUCACAGCUUCCAGUAUUGUCUCCAGUGGGUCUAUUUUACUUCAGAACUGCAAGAAAUAAAUUCACAAUUAAGCUGUGGUGGAAAUUUUGAAUUACCCUUUCUCUCUACCAACUUUCACUCUAAAAAUGAAAAUUUAGUCACAAAAACCUCAAUAACACUAACUUCCACACCAUCACCAAAAUGCUGUUUGGUGUAACAUUACGUAAUUGUGAUGUGUACAUGUCCGACAUGGUAAUGCAAUGCAUUGUCUCACAUUGGACUGGAUCUGUUUUUUUGUUGUUGGUACCUCAGAUUUUUUAAAGAUAAAAGUACAUUUCAAAAUUAAAGCACAUGCCCUUUUUAUUGCCUUUGGAAUCAUUAUGUUAUUACUAUUGUUACUGUUAUUACAUUAUGAGCUCAUUGUAGUUAAGAGUCCAGAGGUAAGGUUGCCAUGCUUUUUACUGCUGGCUUAAAUCAUAAUUUGUGUCCUGUUUUUAAUACUGUAAAAUCUAUGUAUUUUGUCUUAGUUGAAUAAUGUGUAAUGCAAGUCAUGGUUUAUACAGAACCAGUAGCUUUCACAAAUGGUGUCUGAUAUGGGGACUGGUUGGCACACAUUUUGAAAUUUUGAAACUAAUGUUUAUACUAUUUGACUGUUCAGCAGAAAGUAAAACUUUUGUGACAUUAUAGGACUAGAAAAAGAUGAAUAUUGCAUGAAAAUUAUAAAUAAAUCUAGUGCCUCUAAAGCAGCCUAUAUCAAAUGAGUGUUGUUUUAACUUUCUUGGUAGCUCUGCAAUGUCUCUGAAUACGACCAUUUGUAUUUAUGAACUUGUCAGCUAAAAAUAAUCUGUUACUAGAUCACUGUUGGCAGAGUACUUAAAAAAUACGCCUGUCUCUGGGCAUCACAGCCGAUUGCACAUCUCAGAAAGGGGCUGCACACUCCAGAGCAUUUGCUGCUUAUUUGCUCUGGAAGGGGGGCUGAAGAGAAAUGUGAGGUUUUCUCAUCGUGGUACCUGCUGGAAUUGUGAAAUAGAAAACUGCGUCAUUGAAUCACGGGAGUACUGGAUCAAAAUGGAAAGGCACUGUUCUUUUGGACUUUAUUGUUUGUUCCUGCCAGCCUUGCUGGUGUGUGUGUCAUCUGGCAGAGAGUGCACAGAGAAGGACAGCCUGCUGACUGAAGUGUCCUCAUAUGUGAAUAUGCCUUCGGAGUGUGUUCUCAGCUGCACUGCGCAUACGUAUAGAGAGAUGUUGAAGAAAAGAGAAGUGCAAACUGUGCGCUUUAAUCCCACAAGCCCAAGUGAGCUGGGACAAUACUGUUGGCCCACACAGAUGAAAUGUGGUCUGGGCGAACGUCUGCAGCAUGCAUAUAUUAUGUUGCCUCUCCAUGAUAGGACACGAGGAGUUAAGGAUUCCUUCGGACUGCGACCCACCUUCCCAGUCCAGCAGGAUUUGCUCCUGCCACAGCACAGACAGACAGUCCUCAGCAAUGACUGUGGCCUCCGCUUUGAUGUCACUAGUCCCUUCAUUGCUAGCGAGUACCAGCCAAUGUUCUGUGUGGAGAUUGUUCCACCGCUCAGCACCCUGGGAAAAGUUCUGAAGUGCCCGCCCUUUCUUGUCACCACUUGGCAGAAGCAGCAUUUGCCGCCAACUUAGCUUUGGGACAGGUUGAUGGACUUGUUUUACUCACCACUGACAGAAUAUUCUAUAACUUGCCUGCAUCCUCUUAAAAUAAAAUACAAAGUUAUCAACCGUGAAUAAUUAUUAGAGUCCAAUAACACAUGGACAAAGUCUAGAUUAAAGCCAUACAAUAAUCUUCAAGCUUCAGAAGUUUUUAGGCACUAUCUUAAGUUUUAUUUGAUUACAUUUGUAUUGCAUGAUUACAAUGACAGAGUAAGAAUUAUGCUUGCAAUCUCAUUAACAUUUGUUUUCAUCUACUUUCCUACAUUGAAUUGAUGUUAACCAUAUACUGAACAUAAAUGGGCAAUAUCACCAAGUCCUUAAAAUCAUCAUGUUAUGUCAAGAUUCUUACAGAUGCUUAUAAGUAUUAUAAAUUGUGUAAAAUUUAUGAAAGCAAAAUUCUUCACAUUUGUAUUGUGCUGCCUUCUAAAUAAGUAAUCAUUUGACAUUUAUUAUAAUUAAGACACAUUAUGCGUAUAAGAAUGUAAUUUUGUUUGGCCUUUGUUCUGUAAAAUUAGAAAAUGAGUUGUCCAGGAGUGAGGGCCUGAGGUAUUGCAGCUGAAAAUGUGAAGCCCUGGACUUAUUCAUAAUUCAUCUUGCAGUGCUGGAUCUUUCGUUGUACAACUGAUUCAGUCUGUGCUUUAUGAGAGAGUGUUGAAAGGUGUGGAUUUGGCUGGGGAGCAGCUAAUUUUAGUGCAAUGAAGCUUAUUUUUACUUAGUGCUUACAAAAUUGAAUUGAGGUAUGAAUGGACUUUGGGAUGGUCAUUAAAUGACAGAUUCAUUUAGAA